AGGUUUCCCUGUGUGUGAGGAUAGGCAUGAGCAGACAUACACACAAGCAAUGGGUCUCACGAGAACAUUUCAUGCUGGCCCAGAUGAGGCAGUGCCCACUUGACUGCAGCACCACAGUGCUCUCAGCAGCCCUGCUUCGAAUGGGCCCUUUGUCAGUGGUCUCAGCCAUCCCGUGUAUAAAGUGGAGAGGAUCACCGCAUCCCCCGGGUUUGCAGCUUUUCUUCGCUGGAUGUCACGAGAGGCAGGGCUGAGUAACGGCGCUGGAUACUAACAGCAGGGGAUAGUCUGCGAGCAAGUCCUUGUUUUGAAAAGAGCAGUUGUUAUUCACAAGUCCUGAACACAAGGAAGGAGAAAUAUUACAAACAAUGAACGCCUAGCUGUGAACUUCUGGUACUUUUUCCAAUGAGUAGGCAAUUCUGCUGAAAUGCACAGCUUUGGGGAUUCAUGUUUUUGUGACUGUUGCUAUUGCUUGAAGACUUCAAAACAGCAGGUAAUAGAACUUUGCAAAUAUGACUCCAUAAGGAAACUCGAUUCAUACCAGCACUCUCAAUCUUACCUGAGAAGUGCCAUAGUUGGUCAAUUCUCUUUCUUACCCUGAGAGCCUUUACAUCUUCUAAGUUGUCAGUGGAAGUAUUCGCACGAGUAACGCAAAGCAGAGCGAGCUGCAUGUUUGUUCAGCCUGGCCCUGGUUGGAGAAGUUUCUCUGGCUUGAGAAGCACAAGCAAUGGCACGCUGAGCGCCCUGCCUCAACGGGCUUGGGUAAUGCCACAGUGAGAACCCAACUACGACAGGUAAAUGCAGCACUCGGAGGAGAAGAGAUGGGGGAAAUGAACAGAAAAUGAGCUUUUCAGCCAGCGACGCGUGUAGUUCAUCGCAUGUUAAUGCUUCUUUUCUAGUCAUGCAAAUCAGCAGUAAUGAAAACUCGUCCGUGUGCACAGUGAAGAAGCAACUUGGUAAAGAAACAGAAAGAAAAUUAGCUAAAGAAAAUUAGCAAGAAAAUGACUCCGUAAGUGGAGGGAAGCGCAGCUCUCUCCAGCAAUGCGGAGUUGGUGCGCGCUCCCGCUGUGGAAGAGAGCCCUCAUACUGCGUGCACGCAGGUUCGCCCUGGAGCCACCCGCGCAAGCAUACGCGUUUAUUCCCCGGGCGCUAGAAAGGCGGCCAAACCGCCGAGCACUGCGGCGUGCUGUAUGCGCGCCCCGCGGGCCCGGCA